GUACUCACUUGGGCAGGUCAUAUACUGAAAUUGGAGUUAGCACGGCCCCUGUGCAAGGAUGACAAGCAAAUCUGUGAAGCGUUUCAUAUUUUU
rnacentral:snRNA from 1 species